rnacentral:lncRNA from 1 species
UCACGGCCUAAGCUUUCAACUUCUAGCUUCAUUUGUGCCAACGCAGCAGGACCAGGCAACUUCUUUCGAACAAGACCACGUAAUCUUUGGCACUCUGCUUCCAGCUUAGCUAUUUUCUUUACUCCUUCCAAAUGCUGCUUGUUUGCCACUUCUGCUGAUCUUACAGUCAUGUUCUUUUCCUCAUUACGGAUUUCUAACUCCUUUGUAACUAUAUGGACUUCAUACUUUAGCGAAUUGAUUUCCUUUUGACAUGAUUCAAUAUUGCUCUUCAGAAGUUCUAUCUCUGCUUCAGCCUGUGAUUUUUCCUCAUUUAGCUUGAUCAGCAUGUUUGAACGCUCUUGCAAAGACCUUGAAAGUGCAGCAUUUUCAGCAGCAGACCUGCGCAAUUCUUGGUCCAAGUUGGAUAUUUUUGAUUCAAAGUCAAGCUUUAACUUGUCAAUCUGUUUUGUUUUGUUGACAACAACUUCAUGAAGUUUUUGUUCAUGUUCUUCCUUCAGGUUUCGUAUCUGCCGCAUGCAUUCCUUGAGAGCUCCAUCCAGGUGUGAUGCCCGAUCUUCAGCUGUUAGCUUUAACAGUGUAACGGAUUCUAG